GUAGAGUAGAUAUUGUGCGUUAAGUGUCAUGGGAUGGGAUUUAUUCCUGUGAACGAAAGAUUUUAUAUCUGCGGUGCAAUAUUGAAUCCGCUA
rnacentral:ncRNA from 1 species